CGCCCUCGAGUGGGGGACAACAGUUGGAAACGACUGCUAAUACCGCAUACGAUCCAAUCUCGGCAUCGAGACUGGAUGAAAGGUGGCCUCUAUUUAUAAGCUAUCACUGAAGGAGGGGAUUGCGUCUGAUUAGCUAGUUGGAGGGGUAACGGCCCACCAAGGCGAUGAUCAGUAGCCGGUCUGAGAGGAUGAACGGCCACAUUGGGACUGAGACACGGCCCAG
rnacentral:rRNA from 1 species